AAUCGUUCCGAGGGGGGCCCCGUAUGGGGCUGAGAGUGGGCAUGCGCCCUGACCCUUGAACCUGAUCCGGCUCGUACCGGCGGAGGGACGGGAACCAGUGGCCGC
rfam:Methylobacterium extorquens AM1, complete genome.